rnacentral:rRNA from 1 species
UACGGAGGGUACUAGCGUUGUUCGGAAUUACUGGGCGUAAAGCGCACGUAGGCGGGCUUGUAAGUCGAUUGUGAAAGCCCCGGGCUCAAUCCGGGAAUUGCAGUCGAAACUACGAGUCUUGAAUACCUGAGAGGGUGACGGAAUUCCUGGUGUAGAAGUGAAAUUCGUAGAUAUCAGGAGGAACACCGGAGGCGAAGGCGGUUGCCUGGCAGUGUAUUGACGCUGAGGUGCGAAAGCGUGGGGAGCAAACAGG